rnacentral:misc_RNA from 1 species
UGGCUCCGUGCCCGUCCACCGAACGGUCGGCGGGCGAUCCGCGUCGGUCUCGCUGGGUGGUAUGGUUCCCCAGAGGCCGGUUCUUGUGCUGCCUACCCCUUCAGGGGAAGCGGGCCGCUCGAUGCAGGCCUCCAUCCCGCGCCCUCCAACGGGCGCAGGAGGACAACGGUGCACCCCCCGCGUUCCACCGAGCCUCCUCGGUCGCGUGGCGCGCGGGGACGUGCGAUGCUCUCGGACCCAGCGAAUGCCGUGGGCGAGGACUCACGUCCCAGUCCCGAUAGAAGCUCCCACAUAAUGCAUGACGGCCGCUCCCGUCCCCGACCGCCCCGGCGGCGCGGGGGCGAGGCGCGGCGUCGCGGAGGAAUGC